CAUGCACUAUAGGAACAGGAAAUUUGCGGUUUUACUAGGAGACAUUUUGCUCUUCUCCACAUCAAAGGCGUGGCUUUUUCAUUUCGCCAUACGUCUCUAUAUAACCGACACAUUUUCGUUCCUUUCAUCUCGGUUGGCAGUCACAGGACUUCGAUCUGGAGGUCACAGGAAAGUGCAUACUAUAGUAAGUUUCUUAAUUUAAAAAAUAAAUUAUUCUAUUUAUGCAUGAAGUGUAACAAAUCUCUUAUGAUAGGCUUACACAUUCACAACUAUACAUUCUGAACCUUCACCUAGAAGUAAAAAGUAUUUACUCUAUAUUUUAAUCUAUUUGUGUAUUUAGUAGUAGCCUUAUAAAGUCACACCGAUGCAAACUGACCACCAGAACAGUCUCUUUUUAUGUCCUGUUCUCAGAUGUCAGAUUAACAACGUUACUAGACCACCGACUAGUCUGAACAGAACUUUUAAAAUGGUCAUCAUAAGCAAUACAUUUGUGCCUAAUUGAUCCAUAUUACAAAAGCUAAGGCUACUUUUGAAAACGGUAGAAACAGCAAAUUUCUGAGGGGUGAAGAAGGUCUUCAAGGAGUGGCUGUUGAUUUCUACACAACUUAGUUCUUUUCACACAACUGUCUUUCUGUUUCUAAUUUCAGCUCCGUUCACAGAACUUGCGUUGCAGAUAAUCGGUCUCUCUUCGAAUAACUUUUGGAUCCAACAAUGUCUUGGCAAAACAUAAACGAGGAAGUAAAUAACCAGUGGUGGGAUCAUGCAUACAAGCUAUUUCUAGAAAACGAUCCUUUAAGAACGAUUAUACGGCAUCUCCUAAGCUACUUGGGCAACGAUACAUGGAAUGAUUAUGGAUUCAACAUCAACAUCGCUUCUUCCUCCAGCUGCGGCCGGUUCUUUUAAGCAUGUUGAUAAACGGGCCAUUUUGAUCGUGAUUUCUAGAAAGCGGAAAAUGGAUUUCAAUAAUCGGAAGAUUCUGUGUCCUGCACUUUCUGAACCUGAGGAUCUGGACGACAACGACAAAUGGUUUAUAAACCAGAUUAUAACAAAGAUGUACAAAGCGGAUGGCAGCCCUAGAAAAUUAGACAUAGAGUGAACCAGGGGCGUAGCAACCGGGGGGAACGGGGGGAUACAUCCCUUUAGAGACAGACCAUUUAGAAACAGGUGAUUAAGAAUGUAAACCUUUGGAUUUUAUACAGCUGUCCCCCUCAAUUUUUAAAUGUCUACACCCCUGGAGUGAACAGAGUAUCAUCAACUCAAUAAUUGCAGUUAUGUACAACAGAUGAUGUGUGUUCAAUACUGUGCAUGAUUUAUGAAAAGCUGCAAUAAUGAAUACUGAAUAAAUAAAUAAAUAAAUAAAGCCAAUGCUUUAUUUAUAAGACGAAUA